rnacentral:rRNA from 1 species
UACGUAGGGUGCAAGCGUUAUCCGGAAUUAUUGGGCGUAAAGAGCUCGUAGGCGGUCUGUCGCGUCUGCUGUGAAAACUGGGGGCUCAACCCCCAGCCUGCAGUGGGUACGGGCAGACUAGAGUGCGGUAGGGGAGAUUGGAACUCCUGGUGUAGCGGUGGAAUGCGCAGAUAUCAGGAAGAACACCGAUGGCGAAGGCAGAUCUCUGGGCCGUAACUGACGCUGGAGGAGCGGAAAGCAUGGGGAGCGAACAGG